rnacentral:rRNA from 1 species
AGUGAACGCUGGCGGUAGGCCUAACACAUGCAAGUCGGACGGCAGCACAGGAGAGCUUGCUCUCUGGGUGGCGAGUGGCGGACGGGUGAGGAAUACAUCGGAAUCUACUUUUUCGUGGGGGAUAACGUAGGGAAACUUACGCUAAUACCGCAUACGACCUACGGGUGAAAGCAGGGGACCUUCAGGCCUUGCGCGAUUGAAUGAGCCGAUGUCGGAUUAGCUAGUUGGCGGGGUAAAGGCCCACCAAGGCGACGAUCCGUAGCUGGUCUGAGAGGAUGAUCAGCCACACUGGAACUGAGACACGGUCCAGACUCCUACGGGAGGCAGCAGUGGGGAAUAUUGGACAAUGGGCGCAAGCCUGAUCCAGCCAUACCGCGUGGGUGAAGAAGGCCUUCGGGUUGUAAAGCCCUUUUGUUGGGAAAGAAAUCCAGCUGGCUAAUACCCGGUUGGGAUGACGGUACCCAAAGAAUAAGCACCGGCUAACUUCGCGCCAGCCGCCGCCGUAA